rnacentral:sRNA from 1 species
UCGGCCACGUCGGUUAUCGAGAAAGAACCGUUCGCAAGGUUCUGUUCUACGCGCAUCUUGAUGGAUGCCA